AUGCAGCUAACGAGUCCCAAAUAGGACGAAACGCGCGUCCUGGAU
rfam:Schistosoma rodhaini strain Burundi genome assembly, scaffold: SROB_scaffold0001685